rnacentral:rRNA from 1 species
GAUGAACGCUAGCGGCAGGCUUAACACAUGCAAGUCGAGGGGCAGCACGGGUAGCAAUACCUGGUGGCGACCGGCGCAAGGGUGCGUAACGCGUGAGCAACAUGCCCUAUACAGGGGGAUAAUCCAGGGAAACUUGGUCUAAUAUCCCAUAGUAUUUAGAGGAGGCAUCUUCUAUAAAUUAAAGCUUCGGUGGUAUAGGAUUGGCUCGCGUGACAUUAGCUAGAUGGUGAGGUAACGGCUCACCAUGGCAAUGAUGUCUAGGGGUUCUGAGAGGAAGGCCCCCCCACACUGGGACUGAGACACGGCCCAGACUCCCUACGGGAGGCAGCAGUGAGGAAUAUUGGACAAUGGAUGGAAAUCUGAUCCAGCCAUGCCGCGUGCAGGAAGACAGCCCUAUGGGUUGUAAACUGCUUUUAUAUGGGAGCAAUAAGGUCUACGUGUAGACUGAUGAGAGUACCAUAUGAAUAAGCA